CGAUUGGAGAACAAGGACAAAGCC
rnacentral:piRNA from 1 species